AUGGAAUUCGAGGCGGACGGCGCCCGGUGGCCGGAGCAGCGUGGCGGCGCUGCCGAGGCGCCGCCGCCGCCGCAGGAGCGCGGCGAGGUCCCCUCUCCCCGCUUCGAUUCGUCGCGUGCCCUAAGAUUGCUGACAGAGCUUGACAGUAAUGUAACAGAAGAUUUGGUUGUGCUGAUGCCAAACUUGCUGUCAUUUUUGAAACAUGACGAUCCUGCAGUUGUUAAGCAAUCUAUAGCUAGUGGGACAAAUUUAUUUGCUGCUGUAUUGGAAGAGAUGGCACUUCAGGUUAACGAGUGUGGAAGAGUUGAUGCUUGGCUUGAAGAGAUGUGGGCUUGGAUGAACCAGUUCAAGGAUGCAGUAUGUGUUAUGAUGCGUGAGCCUGUUCCUAUUGCAUCUAAACUACUCGCUGUAAAGUUCAUUGAAACAUGGAUCUUGUGCCUCACACCUCAAUCCAACAGUGACCGAAUGCAGCCAAUCGAAGGAAAGAAUCGUAGGUUUGAUGCUUCACGAUUAGCUAAAUUUCACCCUAGACUUGAUCCCGUUGUUCUGGAAGCUGAUGCAAACAGGACUUUCAUCAUCCUUGUGGAUAUUGUGCAAUCAGCUUAUGCUCAUAGAGGAUCCUUCCUAGUUGGCACCAUUAAUUCUCUUGCAGCUAUUGGAAAGAGUAGGCCGGUUUACUAUGACCGUGCCCUUUCAGUGUUGUUUGGGUUUGACCCUAAUUUGGAGACUUCAAAAGGAGCUCAUUCAGGAAGCCUGAAAUAUUCCCUGAAAACAGCUUUUUUAGGGUUCCUACGUAGUCCUUGCCAGGCAAUGCUUGAGUCCAAGGAAGUUCUAGUAAGGCGCCUUCGAGCUCUGAGCCCAGGUGAAGCAACAGAACAGAUUAUUAGGCAGGCAGAGAAGAUGUCUAGAAAUAUAGAGCGCGCUUGUCGUACUAACAAGGACGAGCAUCCAACAUGGGAGAUGUCGUAUGGCGAUGUGAAUCGAAAGAAUUCUGCAGGCAGAUCAAGUGACACUCUUGCUAUGGCCGAGGGCAUGGCUAAGAGAGCAAGAUUUGAUAGCUCUGCAGCUUCGAAUCCCCCAGUUCAGGGAAUACCUGAUUAUUCUGAGAUGCAGAUUGAAAAUGAUGCCGUUAUGGGUCAUUCCUCUGACCCAUCUCUCUUGAGUACUGGUGUAUCUCCUGUUGAGAAGAUGAUUGAAAUGAUAGGUGCUUUACUUGCUGAAGGGGAAAGAGGAGCUGAAUCCCUUGGUAUUCUCAUCUCAUCAGUAGAGUCAGACGUCAUGGCUGACAUUGUAAUUGAAACAAUGAAGCAUCUACCUGAAGCACCAUUUCCAUUAGCUAGAAAUAAGAGUGUCCCUCAACCAAAUUUGCAAUCCCCCUCCAAUCCCUCGACAGAGAACUUACCAGGCAAUCUGCACUCUUUGCCCUUCACGGCACAAUCAGUACCAUCGGCAGAUGGAGCAGGCAUUUCACCACCUGAGGUCCUUGUCAUGCCUGGUGUUUCUGAUUCAAAGCGUGACCCAAGAAGAGAUCCUCGCCGCCUUGAUCCACGGCGAACAGUUGCACCUGCUGCUACUAGUCCCAUGCAGAUGACGGUGGAAAUUACCAGUGUGCAUCAGACAAAUUCUUUGUCAAAUACACUUUCUCCUCUUCAUGGGAAGAUUGAAAAGUGUGCAGAUUAUUCAGCGGACCCACCAAAAAAUGAAGAUGAGGAGCAUCCAUCUUCGAAGCCUCAUCAGCCAAUGGAUGAAGAGAGAUCUGAGUUUUUGGAUGAUUCCACAGAACCAGAGACAAAAUUUGAAGUGUACCCACCGGUGGAAGCCGGAUUUCCUUCUUCUGAUGUCAAUGAAGAGAUGAGCAAUCCCUUGACACCAGAAGCUAUUUCAAACAACGGAUCUGAUAGUACGGAUUUGGAGGUCGGUCCCUUUUCACCAGUCUCCAAGACAUCCACACCAGAGGAUACUAAUCAUGAGUUGCCACUUCUUCCAUCUCAUUUGGAAUUAAGUGACAGUGAGAAAAUCUCACUGCACAAAUUAGCUAUUGGGCGGAUAAUUGAUGAUUACAAGAAAAAUAGCAUCAAUUCAAGAUUUUCCUUGCUCGCUCAUUUGGUUGCUCAGAGUACUGCUGAUGAUAAUAUUAUGGAUUUGAUUCAGACGCACAUUAUCUUGCAUAAUCAUGAUCAAAAGGGGCAUGAACUGGCUAUGCAUGUGUUGUAUCAGCUGCAGUGUGUCAAUGUUGCUGAUGCUCCAGAAAGUUCUAUAUCUACUUCUGAACAUUACGAGAAGUUCUUUAUAUCACUUGCAAAGUUGUUGAUUGACGUGCUACCUGCUUCAGAUAAAUCUUUCAGUAAACUUCUAUGUGAUGCCCCAUGUUUGCCUGAGUCUCUGUUUAGAUUCCUUGAGGGUCUUUGCAUGUCACAAGGCAACAACCAACAAACAAAGGACAGUGAGGGUGACCGUGUCACUCAAGGCCUGGGAACAGUAUGGAGUCUUAUUUUAGGGCGGCCUCCAUUGCGGCAAGCUUGCUUGGAUAUUGUUCUGAAGUGUGCUAUUCACUCUCAAGAUGAAGUCAGAGGAAAGGCGGUUAGAUUGGUUGCGAAAAAGCUCUAUGAUCUAACAUAUGCAUCAGAAAAAGUUGAGCAGUUUGCCACAGACAGUCUUCUGGCGAUUGCUAAUAAGCAUGGUGUGUCGACAGAUGUUAACUUCACAACCUCAAAAGAAUCUACAUCUGAGGUUGAAGUAAGCAACCAGGAAGCUUCAGUUAGUGGUUCCCAGAUUUCGGAUGCUGGACCUUCUGCAAGUGGAUCUACUAAGACCUCUCUGAUUUCACCUAAACAAUCAGCAAUAUCGGUAUCCGAGGCCAAACGCCACACUUCAUUAUUUUUUGCACUUUGCACAAAGAGACCUACUCUUCUUCGACAGCUGUUCAAUGUUUACGGAGGGUCUCCAAAAGUUGUUAAGCAGUGUAUCCAUUGGCAUAUACCUACUCUUGUAAGAAAUCUGGGAUCCUCAUGUCCUGAGAUGCUGGACAUUAUUCAUAGUCCACCUGAAGGCAGUGAGGAACUUGUUACUAUGAUACUGCAAACACUGACAGAAGAAUCAAAUCCUUCAGCCAACCUGGUCGUGGCUGUUAAACAUCUAUAUGAGACCAAGCUGAAGGAUGCGUCUAUUCUCAUUCCAUUGCUAUCCUCAUUUCCGAAGGAAGAGGUGCUGCCUAUAUUUCCGAGACUAGUUGAUCUCUCACCUGACAGGUUCCAAGACGCACUUGCUCGGAUAUUGCAGGGAUCUGCUCAUACUGGGCCAGCGUUAACCCCUUCUGAAGUUCUGAUUGCAAUUCAUGAUAUUAAUCCAGAAAAGGACAAAGUUCCUCUAAAGAAGGUCAUAGAUGCUUGUACUGCUUGCUUUGAGCAGCGCACGGUAUUUACUCAGCAAGUUCUAGAAAAGGCACUAAAUAAAUUGGUCGACAAUGUACCGAUUCCUCUUCUUUUUAUGAGAACAGUUAUUCAAGCACUCGAUGCUUUCCCAGCUUUGGUUGAUUUUGUCAUGGGGAUACUUUCCAGGCUUGUCAAUAAGCAGAUCUGGAAAAUGCCAAAGCUGUGGGUUGGGUUCUUAAAAUUGGCAUACCAGACUCAACCACGCUCUUUCGAUGUUUUAUUACAGUUACCUCCACCACAGCUUGAAGUUGCAUUGAAUAAGUACCCGAAUCUUCGACCACAUCUUUCUUCCUUUGUUAAUCGGCAGAACUUGCACAACAAGUUGCCCAGACAUACUUUGAAUAUUUUGGGCUUCGUUAACGAACCACAGCAGGCACCAAUGCCAUUUGCGCCCGCUGCAUUACAAACAGCAGACGCGACUUCCUCUCUUCCUGGUGCAAACAUAAUGUGA
rnacentral:rRNA from 1 species